CGGGUCCUUCGUACAGAGAGUACUCAAUCUUCACAGCCUGCCAGUAGUGCUCUUAUUAGCCGUAAUCCAAAUGGACAACAGGGUAAUAGAAGAGGAAGUAGAGGAGGAAUUACAGGCAACAGAAGUAAUCAGCGUAAUGGAGAGGCUAGUUCUAAUCAGGACUCAAGAGGAGUCAUUUGUUAUUAUUGCCAUGAGCCUGGCCAUACAAAAUAUAAUUGUCCGCAACUUCAGAGGAAAAAUCAGCGAUCACAUAUAGUAAAUAUGGCAGCAGAGGAGUCUACAGUAUCUUCCUCUGAGAAAACUAUUUUGGUAUCUGCAGAGGAUUUUGCACAGUUUUCCCAGUAUCAGGCAUCUCUAAAGCCUACCAGUUCCCCUGUCACUGCGAUCGCUGAGUCAGGUAAAUCCACUACAUGCCUUGUGUCUUCCUCAUCCAAAUGGGUUAUUGAUUCUGGUGCGACAGAUCACAUGACAGGUAAUUCUAGUCUUCUAUCUGCUUUUCAGUCUAAUCUCACUUCCUCUACUGUUACUUUAGCUGAUGGUUCUACUUCUUGUGUCAUGGGUUCUGGAACUGCGAACCCGACUUCGUCAAUUUCUUUGUCAUCUGUUUUGUGUCUACCAAAAUUCUCUUUUAAUCUACUUUCUGUUAGUAAACUUACUCGUACCUUAAAUUGUUCUGUUUCCUUUUUUCCUGACCAGUGUUUGUUUCAGGAUCUUACGACGAAGCAGAUUAUUGGUAGAGGACGUGAGUCAGGUGGUCUCUACAUUCUGGAAAAUCAUGUACCGCGGUCGCUUGUUUGCUCCAGUACCUUAACACCUCUUGAAGCUCAUUGUAGAUUGGGUCAUCCUUCUUUGUCUACCAUGAAGAAGCUGUGUCCUCAGUUUCAGUCUUUAUCAGUACUAGAAUGUGAGUCGUGUCAGUUUGCAAAACAUCAUCGUUUGCCUUCUGUGUCUAGAGUCAAUAAACGGGCUUCAUCCCCUUUUGAGUUAGUUCAUUCUGAUGUUUGGGGUCCUUGUUCUGUUACUUCUAAAACUGGAUUUCGUUAUUUUGUUACUUUUGUUGAUGAUUACUCUCGUGUUACCUGGUUAUAUUUAAUGAAGAAUCGUUCUGAGUUGUUUUCUAUCUUUUGUGCCUUUUGUAAUGAAAUCAAAACUCAAUUUAAUAUUUCUGUGCGCAUAUUAAGAAGUGACAAUGCCAAAGAAUACUUUUCAGCACAAUUUCAGUCUUAUAUGACACAAAAUGGCAUUCUUCAUCAGUCUUCCUGUGUGGAUACCCCAUCCCAAAAUGGCGUGGCCGAAAGAAAAAAUCGGCAUCUUCUUGAGGUAACUCGUGCUCUUCUUUUUCAGAUGAAAGUUCCUAAACACUUUUGGGCGGAUGCAGUUUCUACGGCAUGUUUUUUGAUCAAUCGUAUGCCGUCUUCUGUCCUUAAUGGGGAUAUUCCUUAUACUGCUUUGUUUCCUACAAAAUCUUUGUUCCCUAUUGAACCCCGUAUUUUUUGUUGUACCUGUUUUGUGCGUGAUGUUCGUCCACAGGUUACUAAAUUGGAUCCAAAGUCUCUCAAAUGUGUCUUCCUUGGGUACUCCCGGCUCCAAAAAGGGUACCGUUGUUUCUCUCCUACUCUUAAUCGUUAUCUUGUUUCUGCAAAUGUCACAUUUUUUGAGUCCACUAUUUUUUCUCUCCUACUCUUAGUCCUCUCCCACAGCCUGUUUC
rnacentral:misc_RNA from 1 species